CUUGAAGAAGACGGUGCCUAGGCAGUAGAAGACCCCGCCAGCCAUCAGUUCUGAGAGGCCAUCUGUGUUGGGCUGGUGUCCGGAAAAAGAAACAAGUCAGGAAGAUCAAUAUAUAUCAGUGAGGGAAGUUCAGCAGUGGAAUUGGCUGCCUAGGGAGGUGGUGAGCUCUCCCAGUCUUCAACAAACACAUAUCUGAUGCUGCAUUGAACAGGAACAAGGAACGGAUGCUUCCAGGUCCCCAUCCAACUGUAUGAGCUGUGAUUCCAUGAUGAUUCCAGCCCUGGCUGACCCUGGGCUCACCUCAAAACCACCUGCAGGUGGCAAGACCAAGAGGAGGAAACAACAGGAAAAACUGCUAACCGGGGGUGGAAAGAUAAAGCCGAAGGAACCUGAUCCCCUUUGUCCUAGCGAGUAAUCCACACCACCGUCCCACUGACGUCAUGGCUGAAUUUGGGCCCACAGGACAGAAGGGGAUGCCUUAUAUUUCGCACUUCAGCAAAACCUCUGCUAUGUCUUAUUUUU